CUACACAUAAUGGGCAGAGUUCCUUUAGCAUCCUAAGUGCUAACAAGCUCUGAUAAUCAAGAUGAGCAGUAUGUUACUUUAGAACAGUCAACACUUGUGCAUUUUCAAAUAUGGUUUCCUAAGAUAAUUUCUGUCAAAGUAAAUCUAGCCAUGCUGUUUAAAAACGCUGUAGGUUACUCCAAGCUUGGCAAUUAGCAUCGGGCAUAAACAAUAAUAAAACUAUCACAACUUGAUAAAUAACAAAUACAACAUUGUAAGCCAUAACCAUACACAGCAGAAGGAAAGGGUAGUGGUGACGAACUGGUAGCUGUUACAAUUAACAGAGCACAUGCCUCCAUGCAGUUCCUUCCAUUUGGUGCACUCAGUCCUGACACACAGUGUCUGAAGCAGGGCACACGUCUGCAGAAUCAUGUAAUAAUUUCUAACACACUGAAAACAUGUCCGUAGAAAAUGAUGAGUUGAUUUUUAUUAAUGCAUUAAAUCCUGUGGAGUUACUACCAACCCCUUAGUAUAAAAUCUGUUCAAAUUAUAUUAGGUAAUUGUGUGCUUCGUAUUUUUAAGUGGUGGGAAAUGAAUUAAAUGAAGACAGGAAUGUUUCCCUCAUGUGACUGAUUUUAGCAUUUUUACCUCUAACUAGGUCU